CGCGUAGGCGGUGCGCUAAGUCAGGCGUGAAAGCCCUGGGCUCAACCCGGGAAUUGCGCUUGAUACUGGCGUGCUCGAAUCCGGGAGAGGUUGGUGGAAUUCCCAGUGUAGAGGUGAAAUUCGUAGAGAUUGGGAAGAACACCGGUGGCGAAGGCGGCCAACUGGACCGGCAUUGACGCUGAGGCGCGAAAGCGUGGGGAGCAAACAGGAUUAGAUACCCUGGUAGUCCACGCCGUAAACUAUGUGUGCUAGCCGUUGGGGCUCUUAGAGCCUCAGUGGCGUCGCUAACGCACUAAGCACACCGCCUGGGGAGUACGGCCGCAAGGUUAAA
rnacentral:rRNA from 1 species